CAGUUCAGGACACACAGGGAAUGGGACAAAUGGAGGAGCUAAUUUAUCUAAAAAUUUCUCGGCUACUGGAGGAUCAAGAUUGAUGGCGUUAUUUUCUACAAAAGCUCCUCUAAACAUUCUAACCUUCCUCCAAACUUCUGACGGCUUCUGAACAUUCAGAAUCCCACCAUGGAGGGCUGGGAAUAUUGAAUUUAGAGGACUUCUUACGUGGAAAUACUUCAUUAGCUAUAUUAAUUAUAAACUUGGCAAAAGCAUCAGAAGUUUUAAACAAAGUUUCACGAGAUACAUCAGGUAAUUCUCCCAACCUCUCAUCCAUAUGUUUGCGAAACUUAUCCCAAUCUGCAUUUUGAAGUUUAUAUGCUAACAGUGGAGAUCUUUUAUGUACUGGUUUGUUUCUAAAAGGAAAAGAAAUGACAAUUGGAAAAUGAUCACUGCCAUAGGAAAGUGGAAGUACCUCCCAUAGUAAGGAAUGUGCAAUGGAAGAGCUACAAAUUGAUAAGUCUAAUGCACUAGGAUUCUCAUUGGGAGCAGACCGACGUGUAGGAACACCAGAGUUCAAUAUACUAAAAUUAUAAUAAUCAA